rnacentral:rRNA from 1 species
AUCUGGGACAAGCCCUGGAAACGGGGUCUAAUACCGGAUACUGAUCAUCUUGGGCAUCCUUGGUGAUCGAAAGCUCCGGCGGUGCAGGAUGAGCCCGCGGCCUAUCAGCUUGUUGGUGAGGUAAUGGCUCACCAAGGCGACGACGGGUAGCCGGCCUGAGAGGGCGACCGGCCACACUGGGACUGAGACACGGCCCAGACUCCUACGGGAGGCAGCAGUGGGGAAUAUUGCACAAUGGGCGAAAGCCUGAUGCAGCGACGCCGCGUGAGGGAUGACGGCCUUCGGGUUGUAAACCUCUUUCAGCAGGGAAGAAGCGAAAGUGACGGUACCUGCAGAAGAAGCGCCGGCUAACUACGUGCCAGCAGCCGCGGUAAUACGUAGGGCGCGAGCGUUGUCCGGAAUUAUUGGGCGUAAAGAGCUCGUAGGCGGCUUGUCGCGUCGGUUGUGAAAGCCCGGGGCUUAACCCCGGGUCUGCAGUCGAUACGGGCAGGCUAGAGUUCGGUAGGGGAGAUCGGAAUUCCUGGUGUAGCGGUGAAAUGCGCAGAUAUCA